rnacentral:rRNA from 1 species
CAGCCGCCGCGGUAACACGUAGGUGGCAAGCGUUGUCCGGAAUUAUUGGGCGUAAAGCGCGCGCAGGCGGAUCAGUCAGUCUGUCUUAAAAGUUCGGGGCUUAACCCCGUGAUGGGAUGGAAACUGCUGAUCUAGAGUAUCGGAGAGGAAAGUGGAAUUCCUAGUGUAGCGGUGAAAUGCGUAGAUAUUAGGAAGAACACCAGUGGCGAAGGCGACUUUCUGGACGAAAACUGACGCUGAGGCGCGAAAGCCAGGGGAGCGAACGGGAUUAGAUACCCCUGUAGUCCCUGUCUCUUAUACC